UCAAGCUAGAAAGAGCGCAAGGGGAAUGCCUUGGCAUCGAGAGCCGAAGAAGGACGUGACAAGCUGCGAUAAGUCUGGGGGAGCCGCACAUAGGCUUUGAUCCCGGAAUUUCCGAAUGGGGAAACCCGGCAGAGCAAUACUCUGUCAGCGUGCGUUGAACAAAAUAGGCGUACGCGGGGAACCGCCUGAACUGAAACAUCUAAGUAGGGCGAGGAAGAGAAAUCAACCGAGAUUCCGCAAGUAGUGGCGAGCGAACGCGGAAGAGGGCAAACCAGAGGAUUUAUCCUCUGGGGUUGUGGACUUGCACACGUGAGACUAGGUUAGCUGAAUGGUAUGGGAAGGCCAUCCACAGAGGGUGAGAGACCCGUAAGCGAAAACCGAAGUCUUACAGCGAGGAUCCAGAGUACCGCCGGACACGUGAAACCCGGUGGGAAGCUGGGGGGACCACCCUCCAACCCUAAAUACUACCUGAUGACCGAUAGAGGAGCAGUACCGUGAGGGAAAGGUGAAAAGGACCCCGGGAGGGGAGUGAAAGAGAACCUGAAACCUUGUGCUUACAAGCACUCAAAGCACGUUAAAGUGUGAUGAGGUACUUUUUGUAGAACGGUCCGGCGAGUUAUUGUACGUAGCGAGCUUAAGGUGUUCAGCACCGGAGGCGAAGCGAGAGCGAGUCUGAAUAGGGCGAUAUAGUUGCGUGCAAUAGACCCGAAACCAGGUGACCUAUCCAUGGGCAGGUUGAAGUGGGGGUAAAACCCCAUGGAGGACCGAACGCACGCCCGUUGCAAUGGUCGGCGAUGACCUGUGGAUAGCGGUGAAAUUCCAAUCGAACUCGGAGAUAGCUGGUUCUCCCCGAAAUAGCUUUAGGGCUAGCGUUGAUUUAGAUUACCGGAGGUAAAGCACUGAAUGGGCUAGGGGCUGAUAAAGUUACUGAACCCUAUCAAACUCUGAAUGCCGGAUAAUUGAUGAUCAGCAGUCAGUCUACGUGAGAUAAGUCUCGUGGACAAAAGGGAAACAGCCCAGACCCACAGCUAAGGUCCCAAAGAUACGCUAAGUGGAAAACGAUGUGGAGUUGCGAAAACAACCAGGAUGUUGGCUUAGAAGCAGCCACUCAUUAAAAGAGUGCGUAAUAGCUCACUGGUCGAGUGACUCUGCGCGGAAAAUAUAACGGGGCUAAGCGUAACACCGAAGCUUGGGCUGCACAGCAAUGUGCGGGGUAGGGGAGCGUCGAAUAUGGGGUGAAGUCGCAGCGGAAGCAGCGGUGGACUGUAUUCGAGUGAGAAUGCCGGAAUGAGUAGCGAGAAUUAUGUGGGAAUCAUAAUGGCCGAAAAUCUAAGGUUUCUUGGGGAAGGUUCGUCCGCCCAAGGUAAGCCGGGAGCUAAGGCGAGGCCGCAAGGCGUAGUCGAUGCACAUACGGUUGAAAUUCCGUAGCCACCGAAACUUAAACCAGAAGGACACUUGGAGCUAUCCGAACCCGGGCGUUGGUUGACCCGGGCGUAAGGGACCGAAAUUAAGUAGGGAAGUCGGAGAAUAACGAGGCGAGAAAAGUUCUGGCGUAUGCUAAGGUGCCCGUACCGCAAACCGACACAGGUAGAUGAGGAGAGAAUCCUAAGGCCAACGGGAGAAGGGUUGUUAAGGAACUCGGCAAAAUUACCCCGUAACUUCGGGAUAAGGGGAGCCCCCUACGGGGGGCCGCAGAGAAUAGGCCCAAGCGACUGUUUACCAAAAACACAGGUCUAUGCUAAAUCGAAAGAUGACGUAUAUGGGCUGACGCCUGCCCGGUGCUGGAAGGUUAAGAGGAGAGCUUAGCGCAAGCGAAGGUUUGAAUUGAAGCCCCAGUAAACGGCGGCCGUAACUAUAACGGUCCUAAGGUAGCGAAAUUCCUUGUCAGGUAAGUUCUGACCCGCACGAAUGGCGUAACGAUUUGGGCGCUGUCUCAACAGCCCACCCGGCGAAAUUGUAGUACUGGUGAAGAUGCCAGUUACCCGCAACUAGACGGAAA
rnacentral:rRNA from 1 species